CCCAUACCGAACACAGAAGUUAAGCUCUCCAGUGCCGAAGAUACUUGGCUGGAGACGGCCCGGGAAAAUAGGUCGUUGCCAGAA
rnacentral:rRNA from 1 species